GCUGUUGCCACUAAUGUGCCACGCCCCUCGGCGGCGGGCGUUAAGUUGAGCUGACAAUCGAAAGGCGAGAGGUGGCAGAGCGGACCAGUCAAGUGUGUGGGCGUUGCACGCUCGUCUUUUCUUUCAGCCGAUGCCUAGCCCUGAUCCCGAUCCCCGAAGCCUCAGCUCCACGAAAUAACAAUGGCAGCGGCAUCAACAGCAGCUGCAACAAUGCAACAUGACAACUUCCGUUGCAUUCGCCUGCCGGCACAAAGGAAAGCGACAAAAAGUCGCACACAAAUAAACACUCAUACGCCCCGUGGAAAACUGUAACGGAAUCGCAUUGUGUGUGGGGAAAAUGUUUUUUCCUGCUCGGGAACGACAAAAAAUCACACACACACACACACACACAAAUCGGAGGCAGGUCCUGAGAAAUAUGGAAAGAUUCUAUUCACGGCAUCAGAUUGUAGGAAUUUACCUGAUUUGCAACGAAUCAAUUAUUAUUGUUAUGUGUUAACCUGC
ensembl:ncRNA lncRNA:CR44644 long non-coding RNA:CR44644